UAGGCGGCAUGAUCGGUCGACUGAAGGGAACAGCCCAGCGCCGAAUCCGGCAGCGUCUCGCUGUAUGGACCUGUGGCGUUUAGGCAAGCCUUUCCGGCGAAUCGGUGUUUUGCAGUCCAAGUCCCCUUGAGCGGGGCCACAGCCCAUAGAGGGUGCAAGGCCCAUAGGAUUGCUCGGUUUGUCGGUUGGAGCUGCCUUGGAGUCGGGUUGCUUGAGAGUGCAGCCCAAAGCUGGUGGUAAACCCCAUCUAAGGCUAAAUAUUACCACGAGAUCGAUAGCGAACAAGUACCGUGAGGGAAAGUUGCAAAGAACUUUGAAGAGAGAGUUCAACAGGGCGUGAAACCGCUUAGAAGUAAACGGGUGGUGCUGACAUUGCGUCUGGCGGAUUCAGCCGGCUUGACGGUGGAUUGCUUGCGUGUCGAUCAGCUAACGACGAUGCGUGGGUAGCUUCAUUCUGCCUAAAGUUGGUGCACUUUCGCUUGACUGCGUCACGACCGAUGAGCUGUUCCGGCAAAAGGCUGGCUAGUUGCCGACUAUGGGUUUCGGCCUGUAGUGCCCCACUGGUCAAGUCAGUCAACCUGGUUUCGCUCAUCGGGUAUAAGCCGCACCCGCCUCAUGGCUCAGUGUCGGCGUAGUUUUUGUGCUGGUCGAACUGUGGGAGUCUGCAUGCAGGCUUCUGCGAUCCCCGGUGCUUAUAGCUGCGUGAUCUGAGUUGGUGCAUAUGGUCAGUGGCGUCCGCGUCAGUUUCCCACCCGACCCGUCUUGAAACACGGACCAAGGAGUCUAACAUGUGCGCAAGUCAUGGGGUUGUUAAACCCAAAGGCGUAAUGAAAGUAAAGGCUGGCUCGUUCAGCCGAGGUGUGAUCCUUGCUUAUGGCUUGGCGCAACACUGCCCAAUCGCAUCGGCUUGCCCGGGCGGUUGCGGAAGAGCGUACACGUUGGGACCCGAAAGAUGGUGAACUAUGCCUGAGCAGAAUGAAGCCAGAGGAAACUCUGGUGGAGGUUCGUAGCGGUUCUGACGUGCAAAUCGAUCGUCAGAUCUUGGGUAUAGGGACGACAGAGCUUUAGUCC
rnacentral:rRNA from 1 species